rnacentral:rRNA from 1 species
CCUACGGGAGGCAGCAGUGAGGAAUUUUCCGCAAUGGGCGAAAGCCUGACGGAGCAAUACCGCGUGAGGGAUGAAGGAUUUUGGUCUGUAAACCUCUUUUCUCAAGAAAGGAGUUCUGACGGUACUUGAGGAAUAAGCAUCGGCUAACUCCGUGCCAGCAGCCGCGGUAAUACGGGGGAUGCAAGCGUUAUCCGGAAUGAUUGGGCGUAAAGCGCCUGUAGGUUGUUUAUUAAGUCCGUUGUUAAAGCCUAGGGCUUAACCCUAGAAAAGCAAUGGAAACUAGUAGACUAGAGUAUGGCAGGGGUAGAGGGAAUUUCUAGUGUAGCGGUGAAAUGCGUAGAUAUUAGAAAGAACACCGGUGGCGAAAGCGCUCUACUGGACCAUUACUGACACUCAGAGGCGAAAGCUAGGGUAGCAAAAGGGAUUAGAUACCUCUGUAGUCCUAGCCGUAAACGAUGGAUACUAGAUGUUGUGCAUUAUGUACAGUAUCGUAGCUAACGCGUUAAGUAUCCCGCCUGGGGAGUACGCUCGCAAGGGUGAAACUCAAAUGAAUUGNGCGNGNGAGUGCGAGNGACACGAGGAGNG